ensembl:lncRNA
UUCCAGUCCGUUGUGCCCGCCAAUUGUCUUUUGUAUUACGCCCCAGCUGGCUAGAGGAGGGGCGAGCCACGCAGACAGAGCUUCCAGAAGAAGCGAAAGAUGGCGGUAAGUAGGUCUAUGGAACACUGUGUUACUUUAGUUUUAGGAUACAUUUACAAAUAUAUUUGCAACGGUAUACCUUACAGACUGAUUAGGCGAUGCACUGAUAAAUUGCAUAUUGUUUAUGGUUAGAGAGAGCGUAGGUAAUGUUCUUAUUUUCUCAUAUGUAUUAUAGCGGUUCCUUUGUCGAAUGAACUUGAGUUCUCACCGAAAGUUUCCUUUUGGUGUUAUCCACAUAAUUCUGAUAUUUGUAGCGUUUGUUUUUAAAUCAGCAUCCUUUCCGGUAAUUUUUCAACACCAAUUGUUGCUUAGUUUAUUCAAGCUAUAAUCGGCUAGUUUGACCUUUUUUACCCAUGGAAUUACCCAGUUACAGGGGAACUUGUCGUAGAUUUUGCAUUUUAAAUCAGAACUCUUUAUGGGAAAUCAGAUAUGUUUAUUUCUUAACAAUGUCCUUGUCAAUUGAUUUGUUCCUAUUAGAAAAGCUUAUAGGCCUAUCAUAACAGUUCUUUUUAGUUUCGUGCACGGUAAUUACCGACAUAUUACUGAUGCUUAUUUUAGAUAACGGCGUGUGUCAGCCAAAUUUACACAUCCCUGUUAAAUAGGCAACAGAAGAAACAUAUUAGUUUAGUUGUAACAAAUUAUUUUAACAGUGCCAUUACGGUUGUAACUGUAAUACAGUUUUUUCCCCGAAGGGGUAGGGUGGGGUGGUAGUCAAACGUUUUGCUUUUAAUGUCAUAUAGUGAAACGUUAAAAUGUUGCUGUUACAGUAUCUAGUUCAAUAGGCCGAGUAAGACUGUGAACAAUAGAUUACAUCUCGGUAAGAAGGUUAUGUAAUCAAUACACAUCUCUUCGAGUGUUCUAAGGUCAAAUUGUUUAAUUCAGUAAUGUCAUAGACAUUUAUUUUCUUUAAAAUAGGCUUCCUUAAAAAAAUGUAAAUCAGUAACUGUCUGAUACACUCAAACAUCCUAGUUUAACAGAGCUUUUUGUGUCCUGUGUCUUGAACUGUUUAAUGUUGCCUCGAGGUAGCAAUAAGACAUAAUAAUCCUUUGUUACUGUAGCGAGUACUCAACACAAGGGGGCGAUAUUACUGCCUGGUCCAGGAGGAGGAGAGCGAAGUAGAAACGCUGCUUCUUUCCUUCCGUUUUUUCUUUUAUUCUCUGUCCCUUCAGUUGUGGGAUUCCUCUUAUACUGCUAAGCUACUAUACUUAGACUAGAUUUGAGCUACAUUUUGUUGAUCUGUUGUAACGUUUAUAGCUCUUCAUAAGCAUUCCGUUUGCUUAAUAAUAAUAAUAAUAAUAAUAAUAAUAAUACAAUGAUGUCAGUGAAAUACAAUAAUCAGUCCUAUCAAAACUACAGGCAUUUAAGCCUAGUUGAAUUAAAAUCAUAACAACCAAGUGUCUGUGGUCUCAACAUUCACUUCUGCCUCCUCUUUCUUCUUCUGUGGGGGUGAAUGCAAUGUAGCAGCACCCAGCCCUCAUACGCUUCAUGUGGAAAGACUGGAGGUGACGCCCUGCCCGCCCAGGGGGAUCGUGAUUGUGAUGGUGGUCAGUGGCCGUCCACACCAAAGGGUGGGCCUGAGCGGAAGCCCCUGUCAGGACCAGGAUGUCCUGAGUUUAGGGCAGAGUAGUUUAGAGGAGCAUGCCAUACUCCCCUCUCUGCCCUGUAACCCCUGAUGGCAUGAACAUAAUGCCAUGCCAGGCCAAGAUGAUGUAACAGGAACACAGCAGCAUCAGUAUGGUAGUGACAGCCUGUUCCAGCCUCAUGUCAGUCUGAGAUGGAGGAAAUUAUGAUCGCUGUGUUUACACUAAGCAAACACACAACCGAUGAGUGGAACUUCCCACUAUGUCUUCAGCUCGGAGGCAUCAAGACUUACUUUGUUCUCUGAAGAAAUGACUGAUAAAAGAGGACAACGCCUGGUGUCAGAGAUCAGCACAUCCUCUUCACAAGCGUCAAUCUGAGCCAGAUCGGCAAGAUCUAUGGGCCAUUGCAGAAGACAGCCUUCACUUAUACAGACACUGAUCAGCACAUCCUCUUCACUUCACUACAGAUGUGCACCAUAACCCUAACCCAUUGCAGAAGACAGCCUUCACUUAUACAGACACUGACUCACUACAGAUGUGCACCACAGGCAUACGUGGACAAAACACAACAUUGAGCUCAUUUUAAAUGACCAUCUUGGACAGAAUUGCCUUCAGUUUGAGAAAUUAAAUCAAUUACUAUUAAUGAUAGAAUCAAAGAAUCUCUCAAGCCGGUACAUUCCGUGUCUUUCACCUCUCCUAUGGCUGUCAUGUUGUUGUGAGGAGGAGUUGCUUGACAUAUUGUUGCUCCUCAGUGAGUCCUUUCCCUGUGUUAUGGCAAACUGUCCUCUGGUGGUUUGAAAUAAAUCAUCUACUUCACCCGAGUCUCUUCCUUGUGUGUCUUCCUCUGGUGUGACAGACUUUCACAUUAAAUUACACCGUUUUCCCUGACAUUUCAACGGCUAAUUGAGUUAUCCAGGAAUACAUUACAGCGCUCCGGCUCAGUUUGGUUACAAACAGUCUCACGGUGGCUGAGCAACAGCUAAUUUCGUUAGUAAUGUUUCUUUAAAUAACCCAUCAAUAUUGGAUUGAGCUCAUAGCAACAGACAAUAGAAGGUGGAAAGUCUCAAAGUUUUAACCCAGUUCUUAAUAACAGAACUUGCCCCUAAACCCCAUUUUUGGGAAAAGUGAUCUUAAGGUGUGAGCAAACUUUCUACACCUACAAGUGGGGUAAUCAAACUAUUCCUUCCUUUCUCUUGUUUUCUGUGCGAAUAUGUAGAUCCAAAUCAUGUCAAAGUGUUCUGCUAAUUGUUACCCAAUCAUACACAGAUAUUGCUUCUAAUGUCCCUCAGCAGGUGCAUCUGGAGAAUCAGACUAGACGUUCAGUAAAUGUCAACUGUCAGCCUCUCACUUUCCUGCAGUCAGUCAGCCAGUGAGACACCCAAUGCCAACUCUCUCUGUGUGACUGGAAACAAACAGUCGAGUCCUAACUAUGUGCUGUCUCUGGUCUUAAUCACUACUCAAGCUGGCACCAGGUCCCCAUUAGUGAG